rnacentral:lncRNA from 1 species
UUACCCUCAAGUGCUUUUCUGGUUAUGCACCUUAUGAAGCUGAAACUCUGGGCAUGGGGGUGGGGGUAGGGGGAACUUCAGAGGUUUAUCUGUGAAAAGAUGUGGCUGAGACGGUGCAACACAGAGGCUGACGUGGAGGCCAGGCGGUGUCUGUGCAGGGCUGGUGCCUGCUUUCCCAGGCACCAGGGGCGUGAUGAGAGCUUAGCUGAAAGGAGAGAAGACUCAGCAAGCACAUCACCUUGAAGCUGACCUGUCAGCCAGAUUUCGCAGCACCUGCCUGUUCCAGCCUGAGGGGCUGCGAUUCAUUCCUUGGGAAAGAGAGCUGCAAAUUCCCGCUCUAGGCCACAGUCCAAAUCCUUGCUCUUCUCUCUCAGGUUCUGGAAGACAGAAUGGAGGCAUCUACAGAGCAAGGACAUGUUUUCUACCUGAAUUAGCUUUUCUGACACCUUCAAACCAUCUCUAAGAAAUUGAUUUUUUAACAUACACAUAUACAGGUAAACAUUUAAAUCUGUGCCAUAAUGUAUUUGCACUUCGAGUCCCCCUGAAGUCCUAAGUCACAUGCUUCUCUUCCUAGGGGUUCUGUCUGAAGCAGAGACCCCUGGAUUGGAGCAGUGGGAAGAAUCCUGAUGAAUCAGGUGUUCCUGCCUGUUUACAUUAACUGGGCACCCUGCCUGCCCACCCCACAUGCUGAAUACUGCUGGGGAGAAGAGAAGAAACAUUUAUUAAAGGCAAGGAAAAAUUAGAGCCUUUUCAUUGAGGUCAGAAGAUUUUUGAGGUUGGAUCGGCUGGCCAGGUGCAUGACCAAUUUUCUUGGCUCCUUAGAAGCAGCAAAGUAUUUGAAAAAUAAUGGAGCCCUUCGUCCUACAAGUAAAAGCCCAUUUAUAUUGGGAAUUUUUUAAAAAGUGCUGGCGAUGGAAAAUUUCCGAUGAGAUGCAUUUCUUCCUGCCUGAAUGUCUUGAAUGCCUGCUGGAUUUGUCUCCCUGCUAAGACACUCACACUUGCAAAUCUGUGCUUUUCAAGGUGGGGAGAUGAAAAUAAAAAGUCUGUGAGAUGUAUUUCUGGGAGGCCUGAAAACAGGAAGCAAAUUGGAACCACAGCAUGUGGGGCACGGAUGCUGGAUUCUGGGGGAUAUUUGCUUAUUUGGAAAGGCUGCAAACAUUCCAUCCUACCCACUGCUAGGAGCUCUGCACUUUGCUAACGUCCCAUGGAAACCAAGGUUCUCUUUAGGACUCGACAGGACUGGGUUAUUUUUCUCAGCUUAAAUUGUUUUUAUAUGGUUAUCCUCAGUACUCUUUUCUGUUUUGGGAUAUUUUCAUACUUUUUAUUUUUUAAAAACCCCAGAAUAUCUUGAUUUUGAAAAGGUACAUUCACCCAAAUAAAGUGCCCAGCGCAUAGACAAGGCUGCCUCAAUAUUUCACGUGUCAACAGCCAAUGCCCCCAGUACGUGCAGAAAAGCCUGAGAACAAGGAAGGAAGAAAAGGGUCUGGUCCUUGCUCUGCGGGUAUUUAAGCAUUUCUCAGCCCCCUCCUCUGACUUCUCAACUAUGUUCACCUAUAUGGCCUCGAAUGGAGAGAACUGGGGUUAUAAAAGAG